rnacentral:lncRNA from 1 species
CGUUGGCGCUGCAACCAUCUUGACUUGGAAUCAACCACCCUAUAGGCCACGCUGUAGCCUUAGAUACUCUAACUCGUGAAAUUUUCAUCGACCGUCGUCCAUAGGGCAAGGCACGCUUCUGCCCUCUGUGGGACAGAGUUGUCGAUGAUUAUAGUUGCGUCAUUGCUCCCACCCGAUAUCACCUUGGCAGCGACCGCGGCUGACCACGUUCCCGGCCUGUCGCGAAUCUCACCCAAGGGAGCUGAGUCUCAGCUUCCCUGGUCCCUGGUCCCGAGUUCCGCCUUCCCCCCCCGCCCCGUGGCAUCGGCGUGAGGGGAAAAGAUAAAGACUACCUCCUGAGACCUGGAAUUGUGGAUGGCUGCGGAAAACUCACCACAGGAAAUUUUGGCUUAAAGUUAUUCUCUGCUUCCCUUGACUGUGUGAUAGGCACCGCUCUAUCUGCUAGAGGACAGGUGAAAAAGAUGGGGUUCCCUCUUCUUAGAACUCACUGUGCAGUGGGAGAAUGUAUAAAUAAAUAGUAAUUACAACAUAAUCUUCUGGAAUAGAAAUGCUCACAAAAUCAUCCAGCAGUCGAUGACCUCCUUUAGCCAGGGAAGAUAUUGCUAUUCGCCUCUUACAGAGGAGGAAACCAUGGCUCAGAGGGACAAGGUGAAAGGGUGGGAAAUUGAGGCAUAGAAAGUUUAAGUGAUAUGCCCAACAUGACUCAGCUAAUCAAUGAAGGACUAGUGCUAGAGCCCAGCAAAUCUGCUGGUGCAAUGGUCUCUGAACCAUUUCUGAGACAGCUAUGCUGGACUACAUCAUAACCAGCCCCUCACAACUCAAUAAUAGGGUUAAAAGAAAUAGACUGAGAUUAAAUAGAAGGAAGAACCUUCCAACAGUGAAGUUUGUUAAGCACUGCAACAGUUCAUUAUGGAGGUAUCAUGGCAACUUUCUGGGAAGACUUAAACAAAAGACAGAAGAGAGGCAUAGCGUUUGAUUGAACUUGGGAAUGGACCAUUUAUUCUGAGAAACAGAUGAAGUGCCCCUUUAGAGGUCCUGCCAGUCUGAUGGAUGGAUUCUCUACCUGUAAUGAAAGUAAUAGGAAGGAUCCCCUUGCCCAAAGCAUCGUGGGAAAGCUAGCGGUGAUUCUUGUGGGAAGAAAAGCAUAAGAGGAAAUUUCCAACCACCAAUACCUUGGGACAUUCUCUGCAAGUCCCAUGAGCCUCUGAAAGAGGUUGAACACUCAGAAGUCACUUUUGUGGUGCUUGACUGGCCUGACAUCUUGCAAAUAAACCUUAUCAAAAGAUGGUGGAAGAUGCGUACUAAGUAUUCCGUAGUAACUGAGAGUUAGUCUUUUUUCACAGCCUUUGUUGGAGGAGAGGUACUUGUAAUUCACAUGUGUAAACUGCUUUAUAAUUUAAAAAUUCUUUGGAAUAUCUUACUUGAUCUUUAUCAUAGCCUUUUCAGACAUGAAGAGUAAAAAAUACCGUUCCAUUGUACAACUGAUGUGCAGAGUUGUCAAGGUUUCUACAGCUGAGGAGUGUCAGAGCUACUGGACCCAGAUCUUCUCUCUGCACAUCCCACUGUUUCAUGCUGCCUCUAAAAAACAAAAAAAAAAUUUCCAUGCAUGCACUUUUCACAGAGUUGAAGAACUCAGAGGUUCUGCGUUUGGCAGAUGGGCAAGAUUAUAGAUGUCAUCACGGUCCCCAGCACAUGCCGUCAUCAGCCCCGUCACCUUGUCUGUAACCAUGUUCUUCCCAUAUUCCCCCAAUACCUGAACUGUUCUCUCUCAUCCACCUCUCCAGACCCUCUCCUCUUUCAGGUCCUGCCUAUUCCAUCAGGCUUUUCCAACAUCUCCAGGAAAGGAACUGUCAAUUCUCUGGUCUUUGUAGCGCAUGCAUUUUCUAUAUUGCAUGGUUUGGCACCUGCUAAUGAACCAUCUUGUAUUUACAUUGAACAAAGAUAGAUUUUUUUUUGCCUGUUUUAUUCUUAGAAGGAAGGUUAUUUUGUGAAAGUAGAAAAGCAACAUCAUAUGAGAUUCACUUCUCCUGUGUUCUGUUGUAAUCCCUAAUUGUCUCUGGACCCUACUUCUCCCUAGCCAGGUACACAACUGGAAAGGGAGGUUGCUGUCCCACACCGUGUUCUCUUGAUGCCUCGAUGACAAGCACCAUUCCUGCACUACAGAGUUAAUAGUUUUAAAUUCCCCUAUCUUGACUUCUCCAUAAACCAGGUACCAGAACCUCUGCAGAAGACAUUAAUUUUUCUUUUCCCUGAAGUUAACAUUUCUCAUAUUCUCACUUAUCCCUGGGAUGGGUAGUGGUCUUUAUUGGGAUGUACAGAUUGUUUUUUGUCAGUACUCAUCUCUGCCAAAUUACAUCAGGGAAUAUCUCGUAAGCACUUGCUUGGUUAAUAUUAGCCAAGUCUGGUGGUGUGCUAGAUACUCUGCUAUAGUGCUAUAGACUCAAAAAUCUAUAUAGAAACAAAAGAGCCCUUCCCGGUGCAUCUGACUUUGAUGGAAAGAUUCCAGAGGUACUAGGCUGAGGAUUUCGUUUCAUUC